rnacentral:rRNA from 1 species
AUUGAACGCUGGCGGAAUGCUUUACACAUGCAAGUCGAACGGCAGCACGGGGGCAACCCUGGUGGCGAGUGGCGAACGGGUGAGUAAUACAUCGGAACGUGCCCGGUCGUGGGGGAUAACGUAGCGAAAGUUACGCUAAUACCACAUACGAUCUACGGAUGAAAGCGGGGGACCGUAAGGCCUCGCGCGAUUGGAGCGGCCGAUGUCAGAUUAGGUAGUUGGUGAGGUAAAGGCUCACCAAGCCGACGAUCUGUAGCUGGUCUGAGAGGACGAGCAGCCACACUGGGACUGAGACACGGCCCAGACUCCUACGGGAGGCGGCAGUGGGGAAUUUUGGACAAUGGGCGCAAGCCUGAUCCAGCCAUUCCGCGUGCAGGACGAAGGCCUUCGGGUUGUAAACUGCUUUUGUACGGAACGAAAAGGCUCUGGUUAAUACCUGGGGCUCAUGACGGUACCGUAAGAAUAAGCACCGGCUAACUACGUGCCAGCAGCCGCAGUAA